UUUUGCAUUCUGUAAUGUAAUAAAUAACUGUCUAUAUUUCAUUUAGCUUUUUCAUUUAAUCUUUGUGACACUUCUUCUGUGGGUAGGUAUUAUUAUCAUCAUUUUAAAAUUAAAGAAGCUGAUGCUCAGGUUAAGCAACUUGGCCUUUAUUGCAGAAAUAGCAGAGUUGGAAUUUGAAGCCCGGUCUCCCUAACCCUUAAGUCCUUUCUUUCCUUCACCCUUUCUCUUUACUAAUACUUAUCUAAUUACAAUGCCAUCUUUCCUCUCUCUGUACACUCACUCCCUUCAAUGAACAUUUUCUUCAUGUUUUCGGAGGCAUUGGGUGAAUUUUAAAAAAUCUGUGUAGCUCUGGGUUAGGAUAAUUCAUCUUCAUCUGUUCAGGUCAUGUAGCCCCUUGUUUCCUCCAUAACAACAGGAUAAAGAAAGAGACAGAGGUUCUGCUUUCCAGUGUCUUACAUCACCCAGAUAAUUGGCAGCCAGGAGAAGGGCAGCUGCCACACUCUUCAGAGAUCUAUUUAAAGUUCAAAAAGACGCAGGAUAACAAUAACAAGAAGGUAAGCGUGGCCCUGACCAACCCACCCAACAACAGGAAGAAUGGCUGAAAAAGAAUCUACAUUAUCACACCUUCUGGUCCCUAUUCUUCUCUUGAUUGGCUG